AAGCUUGCUUUCUCUGCCGGCGAGCGGCGGACGGGUGAGUAACGCGUAGGAAUCUACCUAGUAGAGGGGGACAACAUGUGGAAACGCAUGCUAAUACCGCAUACGCCUUUAGGGGGAAAGCAGGGGAUCUUAGGACCUUGCGCUAUUAGAUGAGCCUGCGUGAGAUUAGCUAGUUGGUAGGGUAAAGGCCUACCAAGGCGACGAUCUCUAGCUGGUCUGAGAGGAUGACCAGCCACACUGGGACUGAGACACGGCCCAGACUCC
rnacentral:rRNA from 1 species